rnacentral:lncRNA from 1 species
UCUCAAGAGGGCUGUGGAUCAUUAUUUUUUCCUUUUAGAUGUUCCUUGAAAAAAUAUAUAUAUAUAUAUAUUUUUUUUUAGACAGAGUCUUACUCUGUCAGCCAGGCUGGAGUGCAGUGGCACAAUCUCAGCUCACUGGAACCUCCGCCUCCCGGGCUCAAGCAAUUCUCCUGCAUCAGCCUCCCGAGUAGCUGGGAUUACAGGCGUGUACCACCACGCUCAGCUAAUUUUUGUAUUUUUAGUAGAGAUGGGAUUUUACCAUGUCAGUCAGGAUGGUCUCGAACUCCUGGCCUCAGGUAAUCCACCUGCCUAGGCCUCCCAAAGUGCUGGGAUUACAGGCGUGAGCCACCACUUCUGGCCCAAAAAGAUAAAAUAUCUUAAUAGAAAGGGUAUAAUUUUCUAUUGCCAUACCUUCUAGGCUGUAUGCUUCCAUAGUCAAUCUGAGUUAUCUAAUGAUGGAAAUAUCUUGGAGUCAUGGCAGAAGUGCCUCAAUUUUCUGACUACUUCAACUUCUAACUGAGAACUUCGUCUCCCUUGCCCAAAACCUACAAUGUGGGAGGGACUGCAGAGAACAUGGAUACUAAAUGGUGUGUUUCACUGGAAGACCAUCUUUGCAAACUAGAUACCAUGUCGCUCCUCUGUCCUAACGAACUAGACUAGACAAUAUAAUUCAAUGAAGACACAUCUCAAGAGAGAGUACCAUCAUAUAGUCCUGAAGUUAAAGGUAGAAAGAACACCUAGAAAAAGAAAGAGUAGGCCAAUUCCAUCCUACCACCCACCAAGGGCCUUUGUUCCAUCCCAAUUUUUUAACAUUGUUUUCUUCAUUUUGUCAGUGAUCACUGAGAGGCAAGAUGGAGUGGGGUCAAACAACAUAUGUCCAUUUAUUGAAUAAAAGUAAAAGUUGUUAUUUUCCUUUAACCUGUCCCCCAUCCACUGACCCCAGAAGGCUCCUCAAGUGCAGCCUACAACUUGCUCUGAAAUUCCCAGACCUGUCACUGCAGCACCAUAUGGCUACUGGUAACUAUUGAGGGAAGUGACAGACAUUUCUACUCGAAGCCUUUAAUGUGGAACCCCUCUGUUCUGUCAAAUCUGUCUGCCCUUAACCUUUCAGUGAAAAGCAUGUAGCUCUGUUGACAAGCACCUCCUGUAGAAGAAAAACUAAAUUUACUCCUACUGCUCCAACUUCUACACUGUGGGUGCCCCAUCCCUGAGGCCUCAGGAUACAAAAUUGGGUGCCAUUUCAGGCAUAUAUGCAGGUAGGCUUCUCUCAAAUUGUGUGUACAAACUCAACUGGAGGAGGAAUUCUCCGUAUCAGAGAAGUAUUUCAAAGUGCAAUAAUAUUUAGCUCCCUGAUUCCUCUUAACAAUCUUAAUUAUUCUGCUCCCUGGAGAGUCAAACAGAGUUGGUAAUUAUAGAAAAGAAAGUGAUAAAGAUCAACAAUUCAUUUCCCCCCAAAACAUUCUCAGACUAGCUGAUUAAAUCUUUACUAGGAUCUCAGGCUUACAGUACCAUAAUACCAAUCUUGAAGGGAUUAUAUAUUAAUAAAACAUAUGUUAGUAAUUCUAUAAAUAAUUAACAUUUUGAAAUAAGUGACAAACCCCUA